CGCCGCGUCGUCGCUGAGUUGGGCGGAGUCGGCUGGAUCAGUCUGCCCGUCUGUGCUCGGGUCAGGUUUGUACGCGAGGCCGAGGCUUGCGCGGCCUCUUCGGAAGGGAUGCUAAAAGUAAAGAUCCUCUUCGUUGGCCCCAGCGAGGUUGGAAAAUCUGUUUUGGCAAACUUCCUGUCGGAGAGCACAGAGGGCAUCGGCAGCUACAUCCCAACGCAAGGGGUGAGGAUUCUGGAAUAUGAGAAGCCCCAUAUCAAUGAAAACAGCAAAGGCACAGAGUAUCGGUUUGAAUUGUGGGACUGUGGAGGUGACCCAAAGUUUGAGGCCUGCUGGCCAGCUCUGAUGAAGGAUUCCCAUGGUGUUGUCAUAGUCUUCAACCCAGACUUGCCCAGUCACCUGAAAGAAAUCGAGACGUGGUAUUCCUGUUUUGUCCAGCAGCAGCAGCUCCUCGAUAGCCAGUGCCUACUCAUUGCGCACCACAAGCCUGGCAGUGGAGGAGACACAGAGAACUUCACCUUGCCUUCGCCCUUGAACAGGCUGCAUCUGAUACAUUCCAGUCUCGAAGAAGAACCCGAGGAUGUCCGGAUGGAAUUUGUGAAGUAUCUUAAGAGCAUUAUCAAUUGGAUGAACGAGAACCGAGACAAAGAAGAGAUGUCGAUUAUCACAUGAAAGAUAGAGAUGUUUUUUGGUGGAACAGAAAAGAACUGCUCCAAAAAGAGAGGGGAGGAGAGAACCCCAACCCAAAAGAAGUCUGAAACUAAUGCCCUGACGGCCAAUUGGAACUCAGAUGAGAUCUCGCUUGUAUAGU